rnacentral:rRNA from 1 species
UCAUAGAGGGUGAGAAUCCCGUAUUUGGUUAUUCUUUCUAGCUUUGUGAUACACUUUCAAAGAGUCGGAUUGUUUGGGAAUGCAGUCCAAAAUGGGUGGUAAAUUUCAUCUAAAGCUAAAUAUUGGCGAGAGACCGAUAGCGAACAAGUACCGUGAGGGAAAGAUGAAAAGAACUUUGAAAAGAGAGUUAAACAGUACGUGAAAUUGUCAGAAGGGAAGCGUUUGACACCAGUGUUGUUUUUCCGAAAAUCAAUUAAGAAGGGCUUGAUUUUGUGUUGUAUUGACCUUAUCAGCUUUCUUCACUCUUUUUCGAGUCUUUCUUAAUGCACUUUUCGGUUAACAAGUCAACAUCAAUUUCUUUUGUUGUAAAAGGGUAUUUGGAAGGUGGCUUUCUUUUCGGAGAAAGUGUUUAUAGCCUUAUACCUCUACAAUCGGAGAGAUUGAGGUCUGCAGCGUAGAUCCUUCGGGGCUAGAUACACUUGUGCUAAGUUAUAGCUUUUCAUAGACAACUUGUUGACUAUGUUUAGUCAUGUAGCUUACCCGCUUGUGCUAUUUUACCUACGCUUAGGAUGUUGA